GUCUAUGGCCAUGCUACCCUGAACAACUCCGAUCCCGUCUGAUUUCAAAAGCUAAGCAGGGUCAGGCCUGGUUAGUACUUGGAUGGGAGACCACCUAGGAAGACCAGGUGCUAUAGGCG
rnacentral:rRNA from 1 species